rnacentral:lncRNA from 1 species
GACAAUUCACCACAAGUGAAUAAUCACAUAAUAAAGAGCUACCCUUUGAAAUAAUUAACAAUUCUACCAGCAUAAAGAAACAAAGUUGAUAGACAUUUGAAAAAGCAAAAGGUGAUUCCGAUAGCAGUUGCCGUACAUCCAAGGCAUCUCAAGUGAAUGUGUGUCACUUCCAGUUGCACAUGUAAAUGCAGUGCAUUUCAUGGUUUGCAGAGGUAAUUCUAAAUUGAAUUUGAAUUAUGUCCUUAAAUGCAAUUCAAUUAUGCUAAAAUGAAUCAAUGCUGAAACGACAUCACAAGGGCAGAUAGUUCACUUCUUUUCCUUUUGACAGGUGAAAAGCAUAAUGUACCUACCAAUUCCUUUUUCUUUAGUAGCUAGACAUUUGAAGAAAAAUCUUUUGAAGAUUAAACUAUCUGCACUCUAACAUGCACUUUUGGAAAAUGGAGACCAUCUCCAAAACUAAUUUCCUUCCUACGUGGAUUAUCCACUGAAUCAGGACAUCACUCACCAUUAUUUUUAUUUUUUCUAUUAAAGCUGAAUCUUUCAUCAGAUAUCCUUACAUCGUCCAGUAAGUUUGUACAGGAUUGAUUGUUUAUUGUAUGUAGAGGGCGGUAAGUUUGUACAGGAUUGAUUGCUUAUUGUAUUUAGAGGGCGCAGACCUGUAUGAUCUUUCUAUAACAGGCCAAUCCUACUCAAAUCAAAUUCAUCAUCUUUUGCUCAUAUCAUCCUUGAAGGAGGAUCAAAUUAAAUAGCUAGAUCAAAUUCAUCAUCUUUUGCACAGAUCAACCUUGAAGGAGGAGAAUAUAUAAAAGAAAAAAAGAGAAACGUUAAAACUGCAUAACCCAAUACCACUAUCUGAUGUUGCUCCUAUUGUUGCUGAUGUUGUAGCACCAGUUCCUUCUCCCACAGUGAUUGAUCCUACCUCGGUUGUUUCUGCUGAUCAUCCACCUCUCAACUUAUACCCCUAAGAAGGUCCUAGAGACUCACUCAGGGACCCCUUUGGCACUCAGAUUAUAUGACUAAGCAGUUCACAACUUCAAUAUUGUAUUCCAUUGCCAAUUAUCUAUCUAUCUAUCUAUCUUAUACUGGUCUUCAUCCCUCUGAUAAGGCCUAUUUUGGGUGUUCUUUCUUCCAUUUCAGAACCUACCUCUUAAUACC